rfam:Ixodes scapularis strain Wikel colony gcontig_1107729093244, whole genome shotgun sequence.
AUCGCUUCUCGGCCUUUUGGCUAAGAUCAAAGUGUAGUAUCUGUUCUUAUCAGCUUAAUAUCUGAUACGGGUCCUAUUUGGACCCAAGAUAUUAAUCUUAUUUUUGGAAUGCGGCGUAGUGCUUGAGGUUUACCUCACCUAUGCCACGGGUUGGCCCGGUAUUGCACUGCCUCCGGGAUCGGCCCACCCCCC